rnacentral:rRNA from 1 species
UACGUAGGGUGCGAGCGUUGUCCGGAAUUAUUGGGCGUAAAGGGCUCGUAGGCGGUUUGUCGCGUCGGGGAGUGAAAACCUUGGGCUUAACUCAGGGCUUGCUUUCGAUACGGGCAGACUAGAGGUAUGCAGGGGAGAACGGAAUUCCUGGUGUAGCGGUGAAAUGCGCAGAUAUCAGGAGGAACACCGGUGGCGAAGGCGGUUCUCUGGGCAUGAUCUGACGCUGAGGAGCGAAAGUGUGGGGGAGCGAACAGG